rnacentral:rRNA from 1 species
AGAGUUUGAUCCUGGCUCAGGAUGAACGCUGGCGGCGUGCCUAAUACAUGCAAGUCGAACGCUUCACUUCGGUGAAGAGUGGCGAACGGGUGAGUAAUACAUAAGUAACCUGGCAUCUACAGGGGGAUAACUGAUGGAAACGUCAGCUAAGACCGCAUAGGUGUAGAGAUCGCAUGAACUCUAUAUGAAAAGUGCUACGGGACUGGUAGAUGAUGGACUUAUGGCGCAUUAGCUUGUUGGUAGGGUAACGGCCUACCAAGGCGACGAUGCGUAGCCGACCUGAGAGGGUGACCGGCCACACUGGGACUGAGACACGGCCCAGACUCCUACGGGAGGCAGCAGUAGGGAAUUUUCGGCAAUGGGGGAAACCCUGACCGAGCAACGCCGCGUGAAGGAAGAAGUAAUUCGUUAUGUAAACUUCUGUCAUAGAGGAAGAACGGUGGAUAUAGGGAAUGAUAUCCAAGUGACGGUACUCUAUAAGAAAGCCACGGCUAACUACGUGCCAGCAGCCGCGGUAAUACGUAGGUGGCGAGCGUUAUCCGGAAUUAUUGGGCGUAAAGAGGGAGCAGGCGGCACUAAGGGUCUGUGGUGAAAGAUCGAAGCUUAACUUCGGUAAGCCAUGGAAACCGUAGAGCUAGAGUGUGUGAGAGGAUCGUGGAAUUCCAUGUGUAGCGGUGAAAUGCGUAGAUAUAUGGAGGAACACCAGUGGCGAAGGCGACGAUCUGGCGCAUAACUGACGCUCAGUCCCGAAAGCGUGGGGAGCAAAUAGGAUUAGAUACCCUAGUAGUCCACGCCGUAAACGAUGAGAACUAAGUGUUGGAGGAAUUCAGUGCUGCAGUUAACGCAAUAAGUUCUCCGCCUGGGGAGUAUGCACGCAAGUGUGAAACUCAAAGGAAUUGACGGGGGCCCGCACAAGCGGUGGAGUAUGUGGUUUAA